AAUAGAUACCCCGGUAGUCCACGCCGUAAACGAUGUCGACUUGGAGGUUGUGCCCUUGAGGCGUGGCUUCCGGAGCUAACGCGUUAAGUCGACCGCCUGGGGAGUACGGCCGCAAGGUUAAAACUCAAAUGAAUUGACGGGGGCCCGCACAAGCGGUGGAGCAUGUGGUUUAAUUCGAUGCAACGCGAAGAACCUUACCUACUCUUGACAUCCAGAGAACUUAGCAGAGAUGCUUUGGUGCCUUCGGGAACUCUGAGACAGGUGCUGCAUGGCUGUCGUCAGCUCGUGUUGUGAAAUGUUGGGUUAAGUCCCGCAACGAGCGCAACCCUUAUCCUUUGUUGCCAGCGGUUUAGGCCGGGAACUCAAAGGAGACUGCCAGUGAUAAACUGGAGGAAGGUGGGGAUGACGUCAAGUCAUCAUGGCCCUUACGAGUAGGGCUACACACGUGCUACAAUGGCAUAUACAAAGAGAAGCGACCUCGCGAGAGCAAGCGGACCUCAUAAAGUAUGUCGUAGUCCGGA
rnacentral:rRNA from 1 species